rnacentral:rRNA from 1 species
AGCGAACGUUUGCGGCGGGCCUAACACAUGCAAGUCGAACGCACUAGCAAUAGUGAGUGGCGCACGGGUGCGUAACACGUGGGUAAUCAACCCUUCAGCCUGGGAUAACGACUCGAAAGGGUCGCUAAUACCGGAUACGGCGCGAGAGGCUUCGGCUUCUCACGAGAAAGCCACGCAAGGGGCACUGAAGGACGAGCCUGCGGCCCAUCAGCUAGUUGGUGAGGUAAGAGCUCACCAAGGCUAAGACGGGUAGCUGGUCUGAGAGGAUGAUCAGCCACACUGGAACUGAGACACGGUCCAGACUCCUACGGGAGGCAGCAGUGGGGAAUAUUGCGCAAUGGGCGAAAGCCUGACGCAGCCACGCCGCGUGAGCGAUGAAGGCCUUCGGGUCGUAAGACUCUGUGGGAGGAGACGAAGAAAGACCUGUGAAGAGCAGGCCGUUGACGGUAGUCUCCUUAGC